CCCUUAGAUGUCCUGGGCCGCACGCGCGCUACACUGACAUGUUCAACAAGCCUCCUAGUUCGACAGGAUUUGGGAAAUCUUUGAACGCAUGUCGUGAUAGGGAUAGAUCAUUGCAAUUAUUGAUCUUGAACGAGGAAUUCCUAGUAAACGCGAGUCAUCAGCUCGCAUUGAUUACGUCCCUGCCCUUUGUACACACCGCCCGUCGCACCUACCGAUUGAAUGUUUCGGUGAAGAUUCCGGAUAGGACUUUUUUGAUUUAUUUCAAUUUUGUCUUAAAAGCUAUCUAAACCUCAACAUUUAGAGGAAGGUGAAGUCGUANCA
rnacentral:rRNA from 1 species